AGACUUUGAUCCUGGCUCAGGACGAACGCUGGCGGCGCGCUUAACACAUGCAAGUCGAACGGGGUGUUUAUUUCGGUAAACACCAAGUGGCGAACGGGUGAGUAACGCGUAAGCAAUCUACCUUCAAGAUGGGGACAACACUUCGAAAGGGGUGCUAAUACCGAAUGAAUGUAAGAGUACCGCAUGAGACACUUACUAAAGGAGGCCUCUGACAUAAGCUUCCGCUUGAAGAUGAGCUUGCGUCUGAUUAGCUAGUUGGUGAGGGUAAAGGCCCACCAAGGCGACGAUCAGUAGCCGGUCCGAGAGGAUGAACGGCCACAUUGGGACUGAGACACGGCCCAGACUCCUACGGGAGGCAGCAGUGGGGAAUCUUCCGCAAUGGGCGAAAGCCUGACGGAGCAACGCCGCGUGAACGAUGAAGGUCUUAGGAUCGUAAAGUUCUGUUGUUAGGGACGAAGGGUAAGAAUCAUAAUAAGGUUUUUAUUUGACGGUACCUAACGAGGAAGCCACGGCUAACUACGUGCCAGCAGCCGCGGUAAUACGUAGGCGGCAAGCGUUGUCCGGAAUUAUUGGGCGUAAAGGGAGCGCAGGCGGGAAACUAAGCGGAUCUUAAAAGUGCGGGGCUCAACCCCGUGAUGGGGUCCGAACUGGUUUUCUUGAGUGCAGGAGAGGAAAGCGGAAUUCCCAGUGUAGCGGUGAAAUGCGUAGAUAUUGGGAAGAACACCAGUGGCGAAGGCGGCUUUCUGGACUGUAACUGAUGCUGAGGCUCGAAAGCUGGGGUAGCGAACGGGAUUAGAUACCCCGGUAGUCCUAGCCGUAAACGAUGGAUACUAGGUGUGGGAGGUAUCGACCCCUUCCGUGCCGGAGUUAACGCAAUAAGUAUCCCGCCUGGGGAGUACGGCCGCAAGGUUGCAACUCAAAUGAAUUGA
rnacentral:rRNA from 1 species